GUUUACAAAACUAGGAGCAUCAGCUCUCCUUUUUCCAGUGAGUUUGCAGCAAAGCAGGGGUGGUGACUGCAGUUGCAGAGAAAGAAGGCAGCUGCUAAGCAUUGUCUAUGUUUUAAUAAGCGUAUCUCAGUUCUCUGUUUUUUUACAAUUCCAACGACUGUGACUCUGUGUGGUCACCUCGUGUUGUAUGCAGCAACAUGCAAUGAAUAUUUACUGAGGAUGAAUUGGCACUGUUGUAUGGGAACUGUUGAGUCACGGCCUGAACCACUGAUUGAUCAGCUGAGGCAAGGACUGAGUCAGCCAUAGGAGCACAGGGGAAGGCAAUUCAGCUGUGACCGCCUGGCUCCACCCCUCCCAGAUCCCAUUUAAGGGCUGACAGGCAGUAGAAAAGAAUCUCUUUCUGGAGGUUCCUCCUCUGUGGAGUCUUUCCUGUGAAGCUAGAUCUUUGGACACAGCUGAGCAUUCCUUCCCUGUUCGUUUCUUUUCCCAAUUUCAUCAUGAUAAUCUUUCCAGCUGUAGCAACAACUGUAUAACACAGCACUAUGGGAUGUGUGAUGAAACAGAGAGGACCAUCUGGGUCAUCUUGUCGAUACCACAGCCUCAAUGUGCCAUCUCCCGUCUGCUAUGCUGGGUUUGUAUUUGGCCCCUAGGAGCUUCUCUGAAGCACAGGAGAGCAGAGCUGUCAGGACUGGGAUAUCCAGCAAAUCCUGGAUGUGGGCUGAUGAAUAGUGUGAGAACUGCAUUCUUUUUCACACUGUGGUCACUUUCUGGAGCACACACAGUUCUUUGUCCUAGGAUGCAUGAGCUGUCCUACUUUUAGUUUUAGCCAUUCUGCUGGAGGUUAGAUUCACCAAACUUUGUUCAACAUGUCACCACAUGGCUCACACCACUGGGACGAUUUCGUGUUAAUGCAGCUUUCAGAGGCUGCCAAAGGCAGCCAGCCCUGAUCACCCCCCAUGUGAGCAUAACCACAGCACCAGCGCCAGAGGGGUGCACCAUUUAGAACUGCUUGUGGGGAGCAAAGAGACCUUUCUGAUCAUUCCUGUGUUCAGUGCAGUAUUCUUCAUCUAACUUUUGUUGAUAAAAUGGUAUCAGUGUUCCACAUUUAUGGCAUCUUACAUGAUAACAGAUCAAGUGAUUUAAUGACCGAAUCGUUUUUGUGUGUACAUUAGCUUUUUGUCUACCUGAGCACUCACACUGAUUUAUUUUUCAAUUCUGCAGAAAAACUUUUGAAAAUCCUCUAAAGUUUUUGCCAGCACAUCUUCAGCCUGUACUGAACUAAGGUCAGCCAGUCACAGAUGCCGUGAGUUGUCUUCUUUCUCCUAACUGGGUUGGUUCAGACCAGCUGAGGGUUGAGAUGGAAACCAGCCUCGGUGUGCUGAGAAAUAAUAAAUUGUUCAGGCAUGUGAAGUCCGAGAAGAAA
rnacentral:lncRNA from 1 species